ensembl:lncRNA
CAGCAAUUGGCUAAGGGGCUGCGGCUUUCCGAACCCUCUCUCCCGCCCGUGACUAUGAAUGGACAUCGGCGUUGUCAGUCACCCGUACUGCGCCGCAACCAGGCCCUUGGCCGGUCUUUCUGUCUUUCUUUCGUCGCUGAUUCCUACCUCAUCCUGGGCAAGUUCAGGGUAGCACUUGGGAGCAGAGGAGCUUCGGCAAGGAAAGUCAGCCCGCAUGGCCCUAACGUGACCGUCGGUUAUGGGAGGGUUUUAGGCCUAGGAGGAGCGUGGAAAGCGCACAGAGGAACUAAGGCUUUGCUACCGUUGGUCCAGGCGGACUGUGAGCCUCCAGUUCAAAAGCUGGACAGAGUUGGCGGCAGCGAAAACCGAGGAAUCCCAGCUGCGUCCUUAUCUUCUUCUUCCCACCCCAGGUCAAAGGCGCGCUUCGCAGAGCCCCAGGGCACGCGGUGCUGCAUGGGCCACGGUCCACGGAGCCACGUGGGAUUCCCUGCUGGCCCAGCCGCAUCCCGCAGCUCAGUUUCGGAGAACCGCGUGAGGGCCCGGCAGUGGGCCCCAGGAUCCUGAAGCCACCGAAUACAGGCUGAACCCCAGAGUAGGGCAUGCAGCUCCAGGCCAGAUGGCCAGCUUUGUGUUCUCCACAAAUUGAUGUGACUUGACAAGGCAGAAAAAAAUAUAUCUUUUAAUUCAUGAAAACACUCUGGAAAAGUUUCCUGGCAGUCAUGACUCAGCUAUCUUGAAGAAUGAAUAAUGACGUUAGCUUUGUUAUUUUCUAAUGUUUUGGUCAGGAGGCCCUGGACUUCAUUUAAUAAUAAAUAUGAAUUUGUAUAAUUUUGAUAACAUUUCAGAAAAAUUUCAACACGAUACAAAACAUUUCUGAAACAUGUUGAUUGAAAUCAUUUAUAUAUGACAAAUGAGCACAUGAUUCACACAGAAGUUAGGGUUGCUUGACUAAUGAAUAAAAAAAUCUGGCAUUUAUAGAAUUUCCCAAGACUCACAAAAUGCCUAAACAAUAUAAGUAGUUUAAAAUGAUUUGCCGAUCCCUGCUAAUUCUUCUUUUUAAGUGUGCUUCACAUUUGUCAUGUGUAAAAACUAAUGUGCUGUGAUAAGAAUCUCAUUUUCAAUUUAGGGAACAAUGGACUGGUUGGUAGAGAUCACACAUUUCAGUGAUUAGAAUAAAUCUCCAGUGUUCUAAAUUAUCAAAGAAAACCUAUUUUUAAACAAAAUAGAGAAUGGCUGUUAUGGAAAAUACGAUUAUUAUAAAGCAAAAUACUUUUAGGAACUUAAAAUAUAUGGUAAGGUAGAAAAUAUUUUUUAAAAACCUUUUAAAAACCUGCUUCAUUUCAUAAAAUUCUAAGCCGAUUUUGUUUUUAAAAUAAAUGCUAAUUUAUAUAACUACAGUUCACCAACUAUAUUUCAAAUACUUUGGAUUUGGAAAUCCAUUUAUAAGAAUGAUUUAAAAUUAUAAUUUAAAAAUAGAACUAGAUCUUUGUAAACAUCGUAGCACUCUUCAGAUAGCUACUAAAGAGAAUAACAUUUUGCAGUACCAAGGAGUGAAUGAUGGGAAGCAAAGUGUUUCAUUUGGCCACCCCCCUAGUGACAUGCAGUAAUCAGCCCUGAGGAAACUUAAAAAGGUACUGGUAAGGUCCGUAUGGAAUCUGAAAUCUGUCAGUUGUCAGUAAAUAGCUAUUUUUAAGGCCUCUAUCCGGGUGAACAUUAGAUGGCAGUGAGAAGUCUCCCCUCCCUGUGGGAGAAGCCAGCCCACCACAGCUGCACUGCCGCAUCUUGGAGGAGUCCUUGCCAUGCACCCUGCAGCCCUUGACCCAAGUUUAACCCAAGUUUAUCCCUCUGUGCCGUUGGUUCCCAGCCUGGGAAGAGUCCUGGCGUAAGGACUCUUACGCCAGAAUAUACUGCUAUCAAACCAAGGUCUUAGCAUUAAAGUUCACAGGAAUUGAAAAAUACUGAAUUUAUUUGCUCAAAUAUUUCACUUCAUUAAAAACACGAAGUUUUCAUUCAAAAAAGAAAAAUGCAAGCCACUUUUUUGUUUUAAAAAGAAUUAUCAGAAUCACCUUGCUUUUAUCAGCAUUCAAGUUGGCUCAUAUUCUGAAUGAUCUAAAGUUUUUGAAAUCUCCAAAUAGUAACUCUAUUAUGAGAUAUAGUUGCUGUUCCCCCAGUGGCUUAACAUGAUAACAUGAAACCACAUCCUUAAAAACCAAAAAUGUACUUUAACAUAGAUUUAUGCUUGAUAGGAUGGUCAAAAAAGUCCAGAUUUUUGGACUUUCUUUUUCAAACUUUGACACAAUUCAAAGGACAAGAAAAGUCUCAACACCUUGUGAUUACUAUUACUAGUUUUGUCCGUUGACCACAGUAUUCUAAAAACUACCGCUCACUCUGGAAGGCUGAGGCAGGAGGAUUACAAGUUCCAGCCUAACGUGGGCAACUUAGAGACUAUGAGACCUUGCCCCAAAAUAAAAAAUAGAAAAGGGCUGGGGAUGCAGCUCUGUGCAAAGGCCCCGGGUUCAAUUCCCAGGUCCACAAAACCAACCAACAACAGGAAGAAAAAAAACCCCAUACACAACCACUGUUCAUGGGGACAGUAUUUAUAAACAGAACCAUCUUCCUGGAGUUCCUCUACUUUUCAGUCUACCUCCUUGUAAAGAUCUAGUUUUUAUUAUUUACAAAACAGUGUUACAAAAGGUGUGCUUAAGCACUGAUGUUCAGCGUAGUGCGUGUUUUAUGUUUGUGGACAGACAUAGUUCAGCUAGAAUUCCUUGACCGAACACUGUGAGACUCAUCCCCAUGCGGCAAGAAGCUGACUUUUUUGAAAGUGGUUAAAUGGUGCCCUUGUGAUCCAGUGAAGGGAAACAAGGUGCUAUGUGGAGAGUUUCCAGGUAUCUCUGUUUUUCAGUUAAAAGCUCUUUCGUGCAUUUUGUCACUUACAAGUUGCAGGUCCAUUAUAGUUGUCUAAAAACAGCUUUUCCCUUGAAUUGCUCUGAAUUAAAAGUAGAACAACAGUUCAGGUAAACGUUUGUUUCACAAUUACAUAACUCGGCGAUGUUUGCAUAGACUCUCAGAAAGGUGCCAAUGUAUAUUUUAAUGCCUGAAGACAGGCUCUGAUGAAAUGAAAGAAUGGCCGCUGCCUACCGAGCUUGCCUCUGUACUGGACUCUGAGGAAAGGAAUCCCUAUAAAGUGCCGUCUCCUGACUAUAUUGCAAGUGGGUUUGUAAGCAUUCAGACUGAACAUGAACGAAGACUCAGAGCAACCAGUUGCCUGGUGUGGAGAAGACACAGAGCUCACCAUCACCCUAUAGAGUGAGUCUCGGUUGUCCAGAGCUCUGUACAAAUUCACUCGCAGCUGCUAGAGCCAGUCGAAUGGAAACAGCAGCUCCUCAUCUACAGACUCAGUCUGACAUGUGCUGCUAUCUACGAGGGAUGCUGGGUGUGGACGAUGCUGUGUGCCGUGCACUCUGACGCGCUUGCAGGCCGUCUCCUUGGCGCAUACGCCCUUCAGCUUUGCCCAGUCAGUUCAGAGAUUCCCAUCUGUAAUCAUCUCCACAGGCACUCCAUCUAAACUGGAAGUCUAAUCUCAUGGCUUUAAAUCGUUCUUUGCUUCUGAUUCCCCCAAACUGGAUAACUUCACUCGAUCACCCCUUGCUUUCUCUGUCCUUUUCUCCAGUUACUUUUGAGAAUUAAAAAAAAAUAUAAACUACCUUUUAAAAGAUCCCUUCCUCCCACUGAGAAUAUGUUUUUAAAAGGCCAUUUCAACAGAUUAGUGCUCUGAGUCUGGUAAGCUGUGUGGGGUGGCAGGGCAAGGCCUACCCUUCUGGGAUGCAUGGGGAGUGGCGUCACCUCUGGAACCUUUACUUUUCCUCUGUUGGGUUCCCAGUUUCCAUGGCGACAAUCUCUCUGUCCUCAAUGUCCAUCUCUAGGGUGAAGCUUGAGGCUUUCCUGUCCUUUGUCCUUGCCCCCCACCAGAUUCUGCCACUUUCUCAGGGUGUCACUUUGUCUGUCCCCAUUCCAAGCCCCACCUGUGUUAAGGGCAUUGGCCCAGGUGGCCCUGAUGACUCCUCCUGCAUCCACUUAGCUGGCUUCCUCCCUCCCUGAGAAUUCAGCACCUCUCCCUGACCUUCAGAGUGUCCCUGCCCCUUGUGUCCCUAUAUGCACUGCAGUCCUUAUCCCUGAUCGACUGCUCCAAAGUUAUUACAUGCAAAAGCCUAGCAAUAAACAAUUCACAAGUCUUCAGUUAUGCACUUGCCUGCUGCCCAACCUGCCCUGCCCUAGAUGGGAAUCAUGCCUGGACCCCCUGGCCAAGAUGUCUACAUGGCCUGCCUGGUUAGUCACUCUGAGCCAUCUCUGCUACCGGAUCAGCUGCUACAGAACCACAAGGCUUGUGUUCAAGUGACCUUUAUACUUAAUGACAGGCCCCAGUGCAUGAGAGCAGCAAUUCACGUAAAGCUUUUCUUUAUGACAUAAACACUCAGUCAUAAGAUCCAUAUUUUUGAAAAUGUUUAUGUACUUCACCUCUCAAUAAUUGAAAGAGAUGUUUUCAAAUCAUCUACUAUCAUGAUGAAUGUUUUGACUUCUUCCUGUAAUCUUAUCAGUUUUUGCUUUAUGUACUUUAGAGUUAUUUUAAGAGAUGGGGAAGGAGGAAUCAGAUGGGAAGGAGAAAUAAAAAGAAUUAAGAUGCAUUAUAUACAUGCACCAACUCCCCACAAUGAAUGUAAAUCAUGUACUGCAGACAUUGACUAAUGAAAAAAAAUUCAAGUUCAAGGGGCUGGGGAUUUAGCUCAGUGGCACCACACCUGCCUCACAAGCGCAAGGUCCUGAGUUCGAUCCCUGGUACCGCAAAAAAAAAAAAAAUUUUUUUUUAAGUUCAAACAAAACAAGAAAAGCCAAAGAAAAGCCACACAAUGCUUCCUUCAAGUGAAGAGGUGAGGGUGCUCAAUUAAGGAGAGGGAAAAUCAUAUGUUGAGGUAACGGAGAUCUACGGUGAGCACAAGACACAGC